ACUCCUACGGGAGGCAGCAGUGGGGAAUAUUGCACAAUGGGCGCAAGCCUGAUGCAGCCAUGCCGCGUGUAUGAAGAAGGGCCUUCGGGUUGUAAAGUACUUUUCAGCAGUGAGGAAGGUGGGUAUGUUAAUAGCAUAUUUCAUUUUGACGUUAGCUGCAGAAGAAGCACCGGCUAACUCCGUGCCAGCAGCCGCGGUAAUACGGAGGGUGCGAGCGUUAAUCGGAAUUACUGGGCGUAAAGCGCAUGCAGGUGGUUUUGUUAAGUCAGAUGUGAAAGCCCGGGGCUCAACCUCGGAAUUGCAUUUGAAACUGGCAAACUAGAGUACUGUAGAGGGGGGUGAAUUUCAGGUGUAGCGGUGAAAUGCGUAGAGAUCUGAAGGAAUACCGGUGCGAAGGCGGCCCCCUGGACAGAUACUGACACUCAGAUGCGAAAGGCGUGGGGAGCAAACAGGAUUAGAUACCCUUGUAGGCUCU
rnacentral:rRNA from 1 species